AAGAGAGGUCUGGGACAAAGAGAACUGCUAACUCUCUCAUUCAUGGUUCAAAUCCAUGGCUCACUUA
rnacentral:tRNA from 1 species